CCUACGGGAGGCAGCAGUGAGGAAUAUUGGUCAAUGGGCGAGAGCCUGAACCAGCCAAGUCGCGUGAGGGAGUACUGCCCUAUGGGUUGUAAACCUCUUUUGUCGGGGAGCAAAAGCCGGACGUGUCCGGCUGUGAGAGUACCCGAAGAAAAAGCAUCGGCUAACUCCGUGCCAGCAGCCGCGGUAAUACGGAGGAUGCGAGCGUUAUCCGGAUUUAUUGGGUUUAAAGGGUGCGCAGGCGGAUUUUUAAGUCAGCGGUCAAAUCGUGGGGCUCAACCCCAUCCAGCCAUUGAAACUGGGGAUCUAGAGUGUGCGAGAGGUAUGCGGAAUGCGUGGUGUAGCGGUGAAAUGCAUAGAUAUCACGCAGAACCCCGAUUGCGAAGGCAGCAUACCGGUGCACAACUGACGCUCAGGCACGAAAGCGUGGGUAUCGAACAGGAUUAGAUACACCAGUAGUC
rnacentral:rRNA from 1 species